rnacentral:rRNA from 1 species
CAGUCGCCGCGGUAAUACGAAGGGUGCGAGCGUUACUCGGAAUUACUGGGCGUAAAGCGUGCGUAGGUGGUGGUUUAAGUCCGUUGUGAAAGCCCUGGGCUCAACCUGGGAAUUGCAGUGGAUACUGGGUCACUAGAGUGUGGUAGAGGAUAGUGGAAUUUCCGGUGUAGCAGUGAAAUGCGUAGAGAUCGGAAGGAACAUCUGAGGCGAAGGCGACUAUCUGGGCCAACACUGACACUGAGGCACGAAAGCGUGGGGAGCAAACAGGAUUAGAUACCCCAGUAGUCCCUGUCUCUUAUAC